rnacentral:rRNA from 1 species
CUGGUUGAUCCUGCCAGUAGUCAUAUGCUUGUCUCAAAGAUUAAGCCAUGCAUGUCUAAGUAUAAACAACUUUAUACUGUGAAACUGCGAACGGCUCAUUAUAUCAGUAAUAAUUUAUUUGAUGGUUCCUUACUACAUGGAUAACUGUGGUAAUUCUAGAGCUAAUACAUGCGUAAAGUCCCAACUCUCGCGGGGAGGGAUGUAUUUAUUAGAUAAAAAACCAAUGCGGCCUUUGGCCGGUUUUGUGGUGAAUCAUAGUAACUUUUCGAAUCGCAUGGCUUCACGCCGGCGAUAGUUCAUUCAAAUUUCUGCCCUAUCAGCUUUCGACGGUAGUGUAGUGGACUACCGUGGCAUUAACGGGUAACGGAGAAUUAGGGUUCGGUUCCGGAGAGGGAGCCUGAGAAACGGCUACCACAUCCAAGGAAGGCAGCAGGCGCGCAAAUUACCCAAUCUCGAUACGAGGAGGUAGUGACAAAAAAUAACAAUACAGGGCAUCCAUGUCUUGUAAUUGGAAUGAGUAGACUUUAAAUCCCUUUACGAGUACCAAUUGGAGGGCAAGUCUGG